GACAGAGGCCUCAAGCGUUAGGCGGAAUCACUGGGCUUAAAGCGUGUGUAGGCGGAUCGUUAAGUGCCUUGUGAAAUCCCACGGCUUAACUGUGGAACGGCUGGGCAUACUGGCGGUCUUGAGCCAUCUAGGGGCGACUGGAACAAAUGGUGGAGCGGUGAAAUGCGUAGAUAUCAGGAGGAACACCAAUGGCGAAGGCAGCUCGCUGGGACGUGACUGACGCUGAGACGCGAAAGCGUGGGGAGCAAACAGG
rnacentral:rRNA from 1 species